CACCUGGUCUACGCAAAGAAUUAUGCUACAUCUUCUAAGUGCAAAUUGAACUGGGAUGCUGUGAUUACAGGCGUGAGCCACCGCCCCGGCCGUUGAUGUUCUUUUAUCACCCUUCUGGCCACCGCCUGGAGCACACGACAUAUAACCCACCGCUGGCUUGCUGAAAUCCCUUUUCAGAGUGAAAGCAGUAAACCUUUGUGCUCGUCUUUACAAAGUAAUAGCAGUUUGAAGUAAUUCUCUACAUUUUCGGCAUUGUUAUUACACGGAUAAUUGCUUCUCACCCCCAUUGUCAAAUCUUAAGUGGCAUAAAACAUUUCAAUCACAUGUAGCUUUCUGGAGCAACAGACUAUGGGCUGAGGAUUGAGGUUCCGGGAGCCACAGCAAGGCUAUCCGAUGCCAUCUUUCUGUCUCACUGCUGGAAGUCGAGAAUCACAGUGCUGAUCAUCAGAAACUGUGAGUUCAGAAACUCACUCUGGUCACUAGAAUUACUCUCCCCACUUUACCUCUGCUGCCCAGGAGAUCCCCGAGACCCGUCCCUUUUGUGGAGCUCCUGAUGGCAUCCUCACUAGUAGCCCCUUGGCUCACAUGGGAAUAUCCCCAGUUCAAGUCUCCAGGAGGAGCCAAGGAGUUUUGAAGGCAUUUCAAAGUUUGCAGUUUGUAUUCUGCUGUACCAGAGACAUCAUUGAAUCUUACAGCUGAUGCUACCUUCUUUCCCACACCUGGAUUCACCCAAAGUCCUGGAGAAUAGCACAUGGUGGAGAGAGACCUCUAACCAAUGUUCCCCUCUGAAAGAUAAGAGCAAGACACCUGGGGGAAAUGAGAACAAACCUGAACAUUGUGGCACAUCUACUUAUAAUAACCAAAAACUGGAAAUAAUCAGAUAUCUCUCCAUGAAUAAAUGGUUAAACAAAACAUAGUACAACUGACUAUGGAUUACUACUCCCAAUAACAAGGAACAAACUGUCCAUGCAUUCGACAACCUGGAUGUAUCACCAAAGAACUAUGCUGACUGAAAAUAAAGUCAGUUUCCAAAGAUUAUAUAUGUAUAGAGAUGUAUAACUCCAGCAAUUUCAAAGAAGUUUUCAAAGAAGAGCUUCCCUGCCACCCUCCUCAUAGAGCUAUUGACCUGGCAUCCUGGACUUUGAGGAACUAAGACUGUCACUCACUUAAAGCAAUUGCUUCUUUCACAUUCUUUCUUCUAAGACAAAAUUACCUGCCCUGUACUACCAAGGCAAAGGACUGCAGAUCAAGUAUGUUAAGUCAAAAGACUGCAGAUCAAGUAUGUUCAGUGUGCUUCCAUUUGGGAAAAGCCACUGAAUGGAAAAGCAAGUAUAUUUGUUAUGUGAUUCUGAUUACCCUGAUUAUAAUUUUCCUGGGACAUUUUAUUUUGCAGUAAAACCAUGCAACUUGAAAAGUAUAAGAACAACAUUUUAAAAAAUCAAAAACUUUUUAAAAAUUAAAAAGUCUUGUAAAAAAUAUAAAAACACAAAUAAGAAAAGCUUCUCAGAAUUAAAAUUGGAGACCAGAGGAAAAUAGUUCCUGUUGAUGAGUAAUUACAUAGGUGACAAUUUAACAGGGAAAAGCAAGAAAAAAAGAGUCUGUCACUAAUCAAGGGUAGCACGUGAUAUAAAACAGCAAACAGAUUGACUAGCCUUUGAGAGUAGAAUUCUUGACCAUCCCAUUCAGGGGCUAGCAAAGUAGCUUCUUAACUACUUUUUCCAUCCCUUAAACGUCUGGAGAGGCUCCCCUUUCUAACAUGUCUACCAAGCUGAGUUUUGUUUUUGUUUUGUUUUUUAACUUUUCAAUAUAGUCAUUUAAAUAAAUUAACCACUAAGCCCUAGGAUGACAGAAACAUGGGAUUACUAUUCUUAAACAACUCUGUUGUUAAUCUUCAAAUGUUGUCAUUAGUCAAUUUUCCCCCAUAUUGCAUCAGUUCUGGGCUCACUGAAGGAAGAAUAAUUUCUUGGAGAACAUUUCUACACAACUGAUGGAAAGGUGAAGCAGUUUAUAGAAUCACCAUUCUACUGACAGGUAAAUUCCUGAGAAGACUGGCUCUAGUUUGAGAAAAACCAAAUGUACUACCUCUCAAUAUCAGGUUAAUAUUAUUAACAAGUCAGAUUCCCAACUUGUGUAUACAUUGAUAGAAAUGAAAGAUUGGACUCAUUUACCACCCAAAGACUGACGUUUAACAUUUGAACACUUUUCAUCAGUGAAUCACCCUGUCAUUUUGGAGAAAACACACCUUCUCUGCUGAACUAGAAAUCAGGUUUUCACAUGUUUUUCAUGAUAGUUUUCAGAAUGCUUGUGUAAAGAUAACACCUAUUGGUCAUAAUACACUUCAAAGGUUUUUUUUUUUUCCUACUUUGUCUUCCAAUAAGUUGUCCCAUUGACACUAUUUUCUAACCACUCCAUGCCUUUGUUUACUCUCGGAAAAGAUAGUUCUAGUUUAUAAACCACUUGGACCAUCUUUCCAGGAACAUUCUUUAUAAAGUGCAAAGUGUUCUCAUUUGCAUUUUGUCCUGUUGGUGGGAGGCGAUAUGUUCAGGGAUUGAGUUUACAGUGGUAACAUGAACUGACUCUUUUCUAAACAUGAGGGAGACGCUCAAUCAUGCAGUGGCACAGAGUGACUCCAGCAGAAUAAAGCAGAGUUAUCGGGAUACUCUGUCUCGGGCAUUAUAAUGACUCUGUUGGUGACAGCUUGUCUACUGCCUGGUGGCAUUAAUAAAGAACACUGUUUCUGGGGGAAAUUGUUGUGUUGGCCUUGCUUUCAUGUGAUAUGCCAAGGUGUAGACCCCGUGCAAAUGAGUCACUUU